UACCAAAAAUCAUCAGAAAAGCUAUAUUUUGAAGUGAGUUAUGCGCCUUCAAAGUUGGAGGUGAGAGAGUGAGAGACGCCAGAGAAAACGACUGUCUGCUUCUCUGGCAUCUCACCUACAACUUCAAAGACGCAUAACUCGCUUCAAAAUUGAGCUUUUCAGGUGGUUUUUGGAC
rnacentral:sRNA from 13 species